rnacentral:ribozyme from 13 species
UUUUUUUUUUUUUUUUUUUUUUUUUUUUUUACAA